rnacentral:tRNA from 1 species
GCCGAGUAGCUCAGUUGGUAGAGCAGGGGAUUGAAAAUCCCCGUGUCGGCGGUUCNGGUCUGCCGGCA